AGGCUUUCCUCUUGGGAAUACCACAAUUGCAAAGACGAAAGGCAUUUGGGUAUGGUGCAUUAACCACCCGGAGCAGAAGGGUACUGUUCUUAUUUUACUUGACACUGAAGGUCUUGGGGAUGUGAAAAAGGGUGACAUUAAUCACGACAACAAAAUAUGUACGCUAGCAUCGUUGUUAUGCAACGUUCUUGUGUACAAUAUAAUGACAGCCUUCAAUCAAGAUGCACUUGAAAAGUUAACCUUUAUAGCGGAAAUGUCGAAGAAUAUAAAGUUCAAGAACGAUUUUGAUCGGAAAGAGACAGGUAAUGAAAAU